GAACGUACAGAACCUUCCUUUAAGCGGGGGAUAGCCCAUAGAAAUGUGGAUUAAUACCCCAUAGUAAUAUUUGAUGGCAUCAUUAGAUAUUUAAAGAUUUAUCACUUAAAGAUGGCUGUGCGGCUGAUUAGGUAGUUGGUGUGGGUAACGGCCCACCAAGCCAUCGAUCAGUAACUGGUGUGAGAGCACGACCAGUCACACGGGCACUGAGACACGGGCCCG
rnacentral:rRNA from 1 species